UUUGCCUUAUCUUUUUAAACAGUGGCCAACUAUUUUUUACAGUCCAAGAAAGGGAAAAAACAUCGCCCGACAAUUGGUUCAGCCAAAAAGGUAGCGACUACCAUUUUACACACAACACACACACACUCUAAUAGCAAUGUUGUAGAAAAAAAUGUAAUGUUAUGGAACGCCAAAAGAAUCAAUUUACAUCACCUUAACAUUGUAAAAAGAAGGAACCUUUUGCGGACCAUAAAACAUCUAUUAAAGUGACAGGUACAUCAUUGACCUCUUCACACAUGUGAAAAGUCUUGCCCCAGAUUUAAAGUCCAGAAAUGGUGAACUCCAGAAACAAAAAGUGCAAUUCCCUUUCUCACAAGUUACUUUUCUAUCUUGACUCUAAAUAAACGUAAACUAGGAAAUUUAUGCCAAAAGCAUAAAUUCCUCUUCCGAAAAUUAUAAUUCAAAUUUCCUAAUUUGCUUCUAUUGCUUCACAGACUGUACACUACUCCUAUUCCUCUAACAAAUGGUUGGAUAGCUAAACAUUCUGCAAUUCCCUGAGGGAAGAUUCCCAAUAUGAGUUACCAAUAUGCCAAGACUUUGUGCAAAUGCAUCAUAAGAAAUACUAACAAAAUCUGCAUCAGCAACCAUGGAGUAACAUAAGGAUGUGCUACCACAGGCUGGAGGAGGGACUCCCGAAAUUACGUUUUGCCUUAAAUAAAGAUGAAAACAAUGUCACCCGUAAACAUGAUUACCAACAGGGGCCAAAGUAACUUUCUACGUUAUAAGGUUGGUGAAACCAAUCUUCCAGGUGUUGGUAAGACUGCCUCCUUCGACGAUUUCUUUUAAAAUUCACCUGAUGUUGCAUGGUCAAUGCUAGAAUCUGCAUAUCACGCCACACGAAGAAAACAUUGCAAGUCGUCUACCUGUACAAUCAGUGCCAAAGAAGAUAAAAGGUAAGAUGGUUAAAUCAAGAAAAGUAGCACCAAAUUAAUAUCCAAUAACAUCUGACAAUGCUCCAGCUUUUCCAAUUCCUUCCUCCCCCAAACCCGAGAGUGGGUGCCCCAUGAUACAUAGAAGGAAAAACAGUAAGCAGAAGGAAAAAGAGGAGAAAUCUGAAAAUACUAUCCAUUAAAGCAUUUUGAAGAAUAGUUCACAGAUUAGGAACUAUAAAAACAAAUUUUGAUGCACAAUAUGCAAUGGAAGAAGAAAACAAGCAGCUGCAUCGAAAUAUCAAGCCACAAAAAGAGUGCAUAUUCUCCUCAUAUUAAAUUCAUCUUUACCUCUGCCAUUAUCCUUCGAAGAGAAUUC
rnacentral:lncRNA from 1 species